UUACGGCCAUAUAACACUGAAGCAUCGGUUUUCAUACAAUCACCGAGGUUAAGCAACGUCGAGCCUAGUCAGGACCUAGAUGGGUGAUCGCUUGGGAAUACCAGAUGAUGAA